AUGUUUCCCUAUGGGGUCCCUAUGUGCCCCUAUGGUUCCCAAUGGGGUCUCUAUGGGGUCCUUAUGGGUCUUAUGGGGUCUCUGUGUGUCCUUAUGUGUCCCUAUGUUUCCCUGUGGUUCCCAAUGGCGUCCCUAUAUGUCACUAUGGGGUCCCUAUGGUCCCUAUGUGUCCCUAUGGGGCCUCUAUGGUUCCCUAUGGGGUCCCUAUGUGUCCCUAUGGCUCCCUAUGGGGUCCCUAUGUGUCCCUAUGGGGUCCCUAUGGUCCCUAUGUGUCCCUAUGGCUCCCUAUGGGGCCUCUAUGUGUCCCUAUGGGGUCCCUAUGUGUCCCUAUGGCUCCCUAUGGGGUCCCUAUGUGUCCCUAUGGGGUCCCUAUGGUCCCUAUGUGUCUCUAUGGCUCCCCAUGGGGCCUCUAUGGCUCCCUAUGGGGCCUCUAUGUGUCCCUGUGGGGCCUCUAUGUGUCUCUAUGGGGUCCCUAUGUGUCCCUAUGGCUCCCUAUGGGGUCCCUAUGUGUCCCUAUGGGGUCCCUAUGUGUCCCUAUGGUUCCCAAUGGGGCCUCUAUGUGUCCCUAUGAAGCCUCUAUGUGUCCCUAUGGGGUCUCAGUGUCCCUAUGGGGUCCCUUUGUGUCCCUAUGGGGUCUCAGUGUCCCUAUGGGGUCCCUAUGUGUCCCUAUGGCUCCCUAUGGGGUCCCUAUGUGUCUCUAUGGGGUCCCUAUGGCUCCCUAUAGGGACCCUAUUUGUCCCUAUGGGGUCCCUAUGGGGCCCCUAUGUGUCCCUAUGUGUCCCUAUGUGUCUCUAUGGUUCCCAAUGGAUCUCUAUGGUAUCACUAUGGUUCCCUAUGGGCUCUCUAUGGUAUCUCUAUGCUCUAUCGCCCCCUAGCGGCGCUCCGUAUAUUGGCGGUGUGUGUAGGGGGGGCGCUGUGUUGGCUCCAUGUGUCCCUAUGGGAUCCCUAUGGUUCCCAAUGGGGUCUCUAUGGGGUCUCUGUGUGUCCUUAUAUGUCCCUAUAUGUCCCUUUAUGUCCCUAUGUGUCCCUAUGGGGUCUCUAUGUGUCCCUAUGGGGCCUCUAUGUGUCUCUAUGGGGUCCCUAUGUGUCCCUAUGGGGUCCCUAUGUGUCCCUAUGGGGUCUCAGUGUCCCUAUGAGGCCUCUAUGUGUCCCUGUGGGGUCCCUAUGUGUCCCUAUGGCUCCCUAUGGGGCCUCUAUGUGUCCCUAUGGGGUCCCUAUGUGUCCCUAUGUCUCCCUAUGGGGCAUCUAUGUGUCCCUAUGGGGUCCCUAUAUGUCCCUAUGUCUCCCUAUGGGGCCUCUAUGUGUCCCUAUGGGGUCCCUAUGGGGUCUAUGUGUCCCUAUGGCUCCCUAUGGGGCCUCUAUGUGUCCCUAUGGGGUCCCUAUUGUUCCCAAUGGCGUCUCUAUGGUUCCCUCCUCUCUAUGGUAUCUCUAUGGUAUCUCUAUGGUAUCUCUAUGUUCUAUCGCCCCCUAGCGGCGCUCCGUAUACUGGCGGUGUGUGUAGGGGGGGCGCUGUGCUGGCUCCAUGUGUCCCUAUGGUAUCUCUAUGGUUCCCAAUGGAUCUCUAUGGUAUCUCUAUGGUUAUCUGUAUUAUAUCGCCCCCUAGCGGCGCUCCGUAUACUGGCGGUGUUGGCGGGGGGGGCGCUGUGUUGGCUGUUACUGAGCGCCGCCAUCGGAGCCGGCCCCGAACUGCCGCCAUUGAGGGCGCUGCUACAGCGUGAGUCGUUA
rnacentral:lncRNA from 1 species